ACGCACGCUGGCGGCGUGCUUCACACCUGCAAGUCGAACGGUGAACGAGGGAGCUUGCUCCCUCCGGAUCAGUGGCGAACGGGUGAGUAACACGUGAGCAAUCUGCCCCGAACUCUGGGAUAAGCGUUGGAAACGACGUCUAAUACCGGAUACGACGCGGGAGGGCAUCCUCUCCGCGUGGAAAGAACUUCGGUUCGGGAUGAGCUCGCGGCCUAUCAGCUUGUUGGUGAGGUAACGGCUCACCAAGGCGACGACGGGUAGCCGGCCUGAGAGGGUGACCGGCCACACUGGGACUGAGACACGGCCCAGACUCCUACGGGAGGCAGCAGUGGGGAAUAUUGCACAAUGGGCGCAAGCCUGAUGCAGCAACGCCGCGUGAGGGACGACGGCCUUCGGGUUGUAAACCUCUUUUAGCAGGGAAGAAGCGAAAGUGGCGGUACCUGCAGAAAAAGCACCGGCUAACUACGUG
rnacentral:rRNA from 1 species